GGGCCUUGUUCCUCGAAGAGACAGGAGACUAAGAGACAAUGAGCUGAGUGAGGAGCCCAGGAACCCGGGUUCCGAACAGCUGCGUAGAAUGCGAGCGGCCAAAUGGUGGAGAAUCUGGCCGGAGGUCCCGAAUUGACGUCCUUCCCUCAAAACCUCCGGGUCUACAAACCAGGACCCUCAGGACCCUUCAGGUGCUCAGAGAAGGAUGAGCUAGGUUAUAUAGUCCUGGGUCGGCGCAAAAAGGCAGCUGAAAGCGUG
rnacentral:lncRNA from 1 species